AUGCAAGUCGGACGGCAGCACAGAGGAGCUUGCUUCUUGGGUGGCGAGUGGCGAACGGGUGAGUAACGCAUCGGAACGUACCGAGUAAUGGGGGAUAACUGUCCGAAAGGACAGCUAAUACCGCAUACGCCCUGAGGGGGAAAGCGGGGGAUCUUAGGACCUCGCGUUAUUCGAGCGGCCGAUGUCUGAUUAGCUGGUUGGCGGGGUAAAGGCCCACCAAGGCGACGAUCAGUAGCGGGUCUGAGAGGAUGAUCCGCCACACUGGGACUGAGACACGGCCCAGACUCCUACGGGAGGCAGCAGUGGGGAAUUUUGGACAAUGGGCGCAAGCCUGAUCCAGCCAUGCCGCGUGUCUGAAGAAGGCCUUCGGGUUGUAAAGGACUUUUGUCAGGGAAGAAAAGGGGCAUGUUAAUACCGUGCUCUGAUGACGGUACCUGAAGAAUAAGCACCGGCUAACUACGUGCCAGCAGCCGCGGUAAUACGUAGGGUGCGAGCGUUAAUCGGAAUUACUGGGCGUAAAGCGGGCGCAGACGGUUACUUAAGCGGGGAUGUGAAAUCCCCGGGCUCAACCCGGGAACUGCGUUCCGAACUGGGUGGCUAGAGUGUGUCAGAGGGGGGUAGAAUUCCACGUGUAGCAGUGAAAUGCGUAGAGAUGUGGAGGAAUACCGAUGGCGAAGGCAGCCCCCCUGGGAUAACACUGACGUUCAUGCCCCGAAAGCGUGGGUAGCAAACAGGAUUAGAUACCCUGGUAGUCACGCCCUAAACGAUGUC
rnacentral:rRNA from 1 species